UACGUAGGGUCCAAGCGUUAUCCGGAAUCACUGGGCGUAAAGCGUGCGUAGGCGGCGUGUUAAGUGUGAUGUUAAAUCGUGUGGCUCAACCAUAUCGAUGCAUCGCAUACUGGCAUGCUAGAGGAAGGCAGAGGCAAGUGGAAUUGGUAGUGUAGCAGUGAAAUGCGUAGGAGAUUACCAGGAACACCAAUGGCGAAGGCAGCUUGCUGGGCCUUUCUGACGCUGAGGUACGAAAGCGUGGGGAGCGAACAGG
rnacentral:rRNA from 1 species